CUCUGUUGUUAGGGAAGAACAAGUACCGUUUGAAUAGGGCGGUACCUUGACGGUACCUAACCAGAAAGCCACGGCUAACUACGUGCCAGCAGCCGCGGUAAUACGUAGGUGGCAAGCGUUGUCCGGAAUUAUUGGGCGUAAAGGGCUCGCAGGCGGUUUCUUAAGUCUGAUGUGAAAGCCCCCGGCUCAACCGGGGAGGGUCAUUGGAAACUGGGGAACUUGAGUGCAGAAGAGGAAAGUGGAAUUCCACGUGUAGCGGUGAAAUGCGUAGAGAUGUGGAGGAACACCAGUGGCGAAGGCGACUUUCUGGUCUGUAACUGACGCUGAGGAGCGAAAGCGUGGGGAGCGAACAGGAUUAGAUACCCUGGUAGUCCACGCCGUAAACGAUGAGUGCUAAGUGUUAGGGGGUUUCCGCCCCUUAGUGCUGCAGC
rnacentral:rRNA from 1 species